rnacentral:lncRNA from 1 species
AUACUUUUAAAGUAUUCUAGCUCAAUUAUAUAUAUAUAUAUAUAUAUAUAUAUAUAUUAUAUAAUAUAUAUAUAUAUAUAUAUAUAUAAUGCAAAAUAAAUUCGGGUUCAGGUCGGGUUCUGUGUCACGCUCCGGAUUAUUCGUUUCCCGGGCGCGCCGACAAAUCCGCCGUAUACAAAGGAAUUUUUUCUGUAUACGAAGCGAUAGCUGUACCUGUAAAUCAUACAAUACUACAAGCGGUAGUAUAGAGCUGCUAGAAGAACCAGUAAUAAAAAUAAAUCGAGUUCCAUAUAUAUACGCCAAAUCCAAGAUACAAAACUACUCGCACUGGCAAGUUAAAUAUAUGUAUAUACAUGAACUCCAACAAAAACAACUACCUGCUGUAGGGGCACCUCUAGCUCGGCUCGAUCCUGAUCAGCAACAGUAGUAGCCGAAGACGAUGGCUGCAAAAACGGGGUAACAAUAGGGCGUGAGAACUACUGUAAAAUAAGUAGUCCUAAGUGGGUACUGCCCUCAACAACAUUGGUCAACCCACUAAGUCUACAGAAGGGAGCAAAAGUAGUAAUAAAUGCUGGAGUGAAAUCUACAGCUAUUAUUUAUUACACUAUCAUGCUCUAAGCUGACCUACUGUAGUAAUGUCAAUUCUGACCCAAUCUCUUUAGAGACUGUAAACAUAUCCGUCCCAGGGACUGUGAACACACCUUUCCCGCCCAGUUGAGACUAUCCAGCUACCUCCACACUAUCCAGUCUGUGGAAAGCAAGUCUAACCGGCAUGAACGACACCAACGCGAAAGCACAACGCCCGUCUCCGGAGUGGCACUCGUGGGAGCUACCAAAUCGAGUAUGCAGCGUAUCUCUGUCGAGCUCAAUCAGGCUCUCUCAAGCCAAAGUCCAAGUAACCAACUCUAACUGGUCUAACAACCAACAGGUCACGUGCCCUCGGCACAAUCCGAUGCCAAAAGGCGAUAUGAGUCCACCGUCAACCCCGACGGCAUCCAACAGUCCGGAACAGCCUGAACGCUACUGUAAAAAUACACUCGGUAUCUCAGCACGAGUGUAACUGAAAGCUAAACUACCUGGGGUACCCGUCGCCUCGAUACUGCGACGAUACAAAAUUACAACGGCUCCUAGAGCUAAAUCAGGUAGUGUAAACAGGUGACAGGUCCAGAUCGCCGAUUUUCUCCUAAGUCAAAUUCUAAGUCCAACAUGUAUAUUUAUGGUUUACUAAUCAUAUCCUCAAUGCUGAUUUCAUCUAUGAUACAAUCAACGAAAUUGAGCUACAACAUGAUUUACAAAAAUUGGAAAUCAUACAUGUCGACUAAUACUGUGCUUAGGAAUAAACCGAUGUAACCCACCUUAAUUGCUAAUCCUGGUAGCAAAGAAGGUCCUGAACCAAUGCUAAUCCCUGCUGGAUCAACCAAAAUCCUCCAAGACCAGUAAUCAAGCUAUCUCCAAGCUCUACACAUUGAAUUCCAUCAAUUAUCCCAAUUUCAGCACUAAAGCUUAAUUUAAUCCCUAUCAUAAUGUCAAAAUUCACCUAAUUACCUCCAAAUCAGGUGAGGAAGGUCUCAAAUCCAGUGAAUAAUAAUGGAGAAUGUGUCUCAAGUCCAAAAUCCCACUGCCUACAAAGAUAGUAUCAAGAAAAGCUCAAAAAUCUCAUUUUCAGCUCAAUGUCAAUAGUAGUCCAGAAAAGCUUCAGCUCAACCAAAAUCUACAAUUCAGGGCUUCGUGGAUUCCUCUGAAAGUCUAGAAUCCAGCAAACCAAGUUUCACCGCGAUCCGACCUUCCUACGUCGCGUACGAGCCAAAACACUGGAGGUCGUCGCUGAAAAACUGCAUAAUCGACACUCCACCACCUUUCGAUUGAAAGAUUGGAUGCAAUUUGAGGAAAUUUGAGGGUUGGAAAUGCAAAUGUAAGCUUCCCUCAGAGAAAGAGAGGAAAAGAGCUUACCAGGAGUGUCUCCUACCUAUUUAUAGGGUAAUCCAAUGAUCAGAUAAGCCUCAGGAACAUUGGAAGUUAACAUGUAGUUUCUGCAAAAAAACCAAGUUCUAGACGCCCUAAACCAAGUUCUGGGCGCUCAGAACUUCCAGCCUGCACAAACAGCCCCCAUCGGUUCCUCCGCCUGCGGUGUGCUGCACCCUUAUCCUGCUUCGGCGGCCCACACCUACCACCAGCCACGCGUCAACACGAUCGAUAUUCACGAUAUAGAAUUUCCGGACCCACUUCUAGGCGGCCGAAACAUAGAAUCCGAAUUGGCUUCCAGUUUCAGUUAAAUUCAGCACUCAGUAUUGGGCGACCUAAACCAUUUCUGGGCGCCCUAAACUUCUAGGCGCCCUAAAUCCAGUUCUGGGUGCCCUAAACUAGCAAAACUCUAGUUUUGCUUAUUUGAGUACGCCGAAUUCAUUUCUUCAUCCAUUUCGCGCAUAAACGACUCCGACUCAGUCCGACACUCUCCAGAAGUGUCGACUAGCCACUAAUACUGAAGCCAAUCCUAUCCAAAGCUCAGAAACACUACAUUCUGAUUCGGGUCGAAUACAGUCAAAAUCUAUAUCCGAAUCCAUAUCUAUCGAGUUUUUAUUUUUGAUAUCCUUAUCCGAAUCGAUAUCCAUUUAGCAUCAGAUAUAGCAGCUCUAUUCGGAUUCGGGUUCGGAUAAAAUUUCUGAUAUCCAUACCUAUUGUCAUCCCUAAGGAGCAUCCCUAAUAUUUUAGACUUUGGGAGGGGUAUCUACGAAAUUGCCCCUUAAAUUUAAUUUCACAAAUAAAAAUUCAAACGCUUAAUUUUAUAAUUAAAAAAUUUUACAGGGUCAAUCACGCAAAAACCCUUCACAAAACGCCUCAGCAUCUCUCUCUCAUCCCACGUGGCAGUACGCGUUUGGUCAAAGCGGGGAAAAAUAUAAUAAUAAUAUUAAACAAAAAGGAAAAGUAUAAUAAUCAAAAAAAAAAUUCCAAGCAGGGAAAAAUGUAAAAAUAUAUAUAAAAAAAUAAAAUCCCAAUUCCCCAAUCACAACACAAAGUCCCCAAAAAGUCCAAUCUCUCUCUCUCUCUCUCUCUCUCUCUCUCUCUCUAUUACGCCGUAGAUCGAUCCCAAAAACUCGAAGAGGAGAGGAGGGUUUUGAGUUUAGAUCUCUCCUCCCCAACAAAAAACCAGGUAAAUUCUUUUAAUUUCAUCCCAAAAUUAUUCAUCAAAUACUCGAGAGGAAACUAAAGGGAGAUUUUUCGCCAAAAAAAACUUUGUUUAUUUAUUUAUUUAUUUAUUUUUUUGUUUUGUUUGGGGUUGUUUCUUCCUUUUUGCACCAAAUCUCAACAAAUCUCAUCUACAUUCACAUUAUAAUCGGAACCCAGUUAAUAUAUCUCCGUAAUCUCGUCAUAUAUCUCAUUAAUCUCAAAAUUUUUCAUCAAGUUCUCAAGAAGAUAUCAAAGAUUGAUUUUUAGCUUUUUUUUUGGGUAAUUUCUCCCUCUUUUUCCCCAGAUCUCAACAAAUCUCAUUUACAUUCACAUUACAAUCGAAAUCCAGUUCGUAUCUCUCCAAUAAUCUUAUGAAAUUGAUCCCAAUAACAAGAAGAAGCCAAAGAGAGAAUUUUCUUUUUUUUAGUCCCCAAAAAAUCUGUUUUUUGGGGUUAAUUUCUCUUCCUUUACGCCCAUAUCUCAACAAAUUUCUCCUACAUUCACAAAAUAAUGAAAACCCAAUUUAUAUUUCCUCAUAAUCUUACCACCAUGCACACCAAUUACUCCAUUAUCCCAAGAAAUUCCUCUAUUGAGCUCCAAACCCACAACCCCACCUCAACCAAUGGCCAUAGAUCAGAGAAUGACUCUAAAAAGGGCUUCUUUGACGAAGAAGACGGCGACGAGUUCGACGAUCUCCCCCUCAUUCUUAAUGGGGCAGUUAUGGAGAGAUCCGAGGAAGGUUCCGGAAUCCCCGGCGCCGUGUUCAAUUUGGCCACUUCGAUCAUCGGGGCAGGUAUCAUGGCUCUCCCUGCCACAAUGAAGGUCCUUGGCCUUCUUGUCGGGUUCGUCUCGAUAAUUCUUAUGGGUAUCCUAUCAGAGAUUAGCAUCGAGCUUCUUGUUCGAUUCUCCGCGCUGUAUAAAGCCUCUUCGUAUGGCGAAGUCGUCCAAUCGGCCCUCGGGCGCCCCUUUAGGGUUUUGUCGGAGAUCUGCAUUAUAAUCAACAAUGCAGGAAUUCUCGUGGUUUAUCUGAUUAUCAUUGGGGAUGUAAUGUCGGGGUCGUUGAAGCACGCCGGCGUGUUCGACCAAUUGCUAGGGAGUGGGGUUUGGGAUCACCGCAAGCUGGUAAUUUUAGUGGUUCUAAUUGUCUUUUUAGCCCCUCUAUGUGCUUUGGAGAAGAUCGACUCGUUGAGCUUGACUUCCGCUGCGUCGGUCGCCCUAGCUGUCGUGUUCGUCCUCGUUUCCUGUGUUAUUGCAUCCGUAAAGCUCGUUGAGGGCCGAACUUGGACCCCGAGAAUGGGGCCGGAUUUUUCGUCGAGAGCCGCGCUUUUGGAUUUGCUUGUUGUUAUUCCAAUCAUGACAAAUGCGUAUGUUUGCCACUUCAAUGUCCAGCCGAUUUACAACGAGCUUAAAGAUCGAACGCCUAAGAAGAUGUAUAACGUUGGGAGAAUCACGACAGUUUUAUGUGUAGUUGUCUACGCUUCGACUGCAAUUUCGGGCUAUCUGCUAUUUGGGGAUGAUACGGAAGCCGAUGUGCUUACCAAUUUUGAUAAGGACCUCGGAAUUCGGUUCAGCUCGAUCCUGAAUUAUAUCGUAAGAAUUGGUUAUGUUCUUCACCUGGUUCUUGUUUUCCCUGUCAUUCAUUUCUCUCUAAGGCAGACAGUAGAUUCAUUAGUCUUUGGCGCAUCAUCCCCCCGAAGCAGAAAGAGGACGUUGGCUUUAACCGCUGUCCUUUUGGGAGUUAUCUAUUUUGGGUCUACUAUGAUACCCAACAUUUGGGUUGCUUUCAAGUUCACGGGAGCGACGACGGGUCUCGCGUUGGGCUUCAUUUUCCCCUCGCUAGUGGCUUUGAGGUUAGAUAAGCAAGGGAAGAACUUGAGAUUAGUGGAGAAAGUCCUGUCAUUUGGGAUGCUGGUCUUGGCGAUAAUUGUUAGCAUCGUAGGAGUGAUUGGGAAUAUUUAUAGCCUCAAAAAUCGAUCGGAAUGAUUACAUUGUUUUUCCAAGAAUGUAUAGAAAACUUUGUGCCACGAAGUUUUUGAUACAAAAGCGAUAUCCAUUUAUCUGAUUGACGAAUUCUUGGGGCAGAACUUUGGAUUCUUUCCCUGUAUAAUGGCGAAAUAUUACGUACGGCAACUCUUCCUCAUAUGUCGUCAAAUGCGUACCGAUAGCAGCUGCUUUUAUGGAUCUCUAUUUUGUGGAGAAGGUUGAUUCCAGAUCAAGGUGAUGUUUACAGAGGAACUCAUACAGAUUUUUAUAUAUCUUGAUACUCUUCAUAGUAUAGCAUUCACGGUUCAAAUAGAAUAAGUGAGGAUAGGUAUAUUUAUAUGAACUUUUUAUAUCCUAAAAAGGGUAGUAGUGGGGUUUGAUUUUCCCUCAAAGCUUCCAACAUUACCCCUGGUACAGGAUUUUUUAAUUCUUUUCAUAUGAGGAUGUCGGCUUAAUGAAUAUUUGUCAAUCUCAUGCCACGUCCCAUUUAUAUCCUAUUUCCCUCAAUUAUUUAUUUGUAUUCUUGUUCACUGAAACGAUAUAGGAUAUAGCAGAUAUUAUUCCUUUUGUAUUGACAAGGGCAUGCUUUAGUUUCACUAAGAUUGUAAGAUGAGGAAUUCAUCACAUGUUAGCUUUAUCCUUUUGACUUAAUUUACAGCUUACUUUGCAUGGUGAGAUAUAACUUGACUAAAUUCAUGCACUAUCUUUGUCACUCUUUUAUAACGUCGCGAAAAUGCAUGCCUCGAUAUUCGUACUACUUUUCCAUAUUGUUUGGAGUUUGUAAGUUUAGUAUCAUAGUGCUGAACAAUAUGUCUUUCUUGUGAAAAUUUUUGGUUUCUUUAAAUAGUUUGAUAGAUUAAAACCUCAUAAACAAUGUAAACUACUCAGGUUUUCAUGUCAUUAUGUCUUGGCUAUCUAACACCGCAAUUUGGGAUGCAAUUUAUGAUAUCGGACUAAACACUUUAUUUUUACUGAUUCAGCGAAGCCAAUAGCUCUCUCAUGUCAUUAAUAUUUUGUUUUUGUUAUGAAAUGAAUGCUUUGAUUCCCCAAUUCCUAUAUUGAAGUUUCCCUUGUUCUACUCAAGUCUUAUAUUAUACAUCUUCUCCCUUGGUUCUCAUUUUACUUCUCUAUACAUCGCUUUUCAGGUUAUACUCACGAGUUCAUUUUUGCACUCUUCACGAUUCUAUUGAUUUUUCUAACUUUGUUGAACAUUUUUACCAAUACAUUUUAACCUUUUGGAAGGUAUGUUUCAGAAUACUAGGUGCUAAUUUUCUGAAAUCCACAUUCUAGAAAAUUCAUUGCUAACUAGCACACUUGCCAUCUUUUAAGAUUUUGAGGUGCUUUACCGAAACACCUACAAAAAGAGUCCUAGUUGCGUAUUUCAAGCAGUGGAAAUAUUUGCAAUUAUGUUGCGAACUUCCGAUGUAUUGGCCUGGCAAAUGUAAAUCUGGUGAGCUUGUUAGAAGAUAGAUGAGGUGUGUAGUAGAUUGUUCAUCCUACAGUUAAUUGCAAAUUCUCAAACAACAUGUUUUAGGGAAUUCGUAAAUUGGCUGUUACAGUAAGGAAUCAACUAGUUAUGUUAUGUUGCCUCUCCUUUUUUUUUUUCGCUCUUACUGUUCAUUGUUUAGCUAAAAGAACUUAAUUUACUGGAUGAACACUGGAUUGAAUUGUAGUUGGCUAUGUUAUUAUUUUUUUGGUUUACAAUGCAGUAAAUAACUAUAGCUUAUAUUGUUGAAUGUGUUUAGUCUUUCUGAAAUGCACUUCAGUAAAGUCCUGUCACACUUCAUGCAAUUAUUUUAUCACAUAUCGAGUACUAAAUCAUUUAACUUAUAAUUUAUAAUGUCAUACUGGCGUCACUGGCUCGACCGUCGGAUCAAUGUUGGAACCGGUGAAACCAGUGAAUCUGACAGGUUUUUUAACUUUAAGGGGGUGUUUGGUUUCUCAGAAAACCGUGGAAAACUAUAUUUUGGAAAAAGUUUUCUGUAGAAAUCACUCUUUUCUUAUUGUUUUCCUUUUUCAGAUUAAAAGUGGAUUUUUUUUUCAAAUAUCCUACAAAAUAUUAUAAUUGGCUAAAUGACCCUAUUAAAAAAAUAUUGAGCAAAAUAAUCCUUUUUUUUGCUAAGUCAGCGCGGUGGUGGAAUUUUUUUUAAAAGUGAUGAAUCGUUUAUCGUCUUUAAGAAGACAGCGAACGAUUCACCGUCUUCGUAAUUUUCUACUAAAAUGAAAAAUUGUUCAUUGCCUUUUUGAAAAUUGUUUCUUAGGAUUUUUUUUUUUUUAGUUGUUAAGCAUGUGAUUUGGUGAAAUUUUUGUAUAGUUGUUAGGAUUAUAUAUAGAAACUAGAAAUAUAUGAGAUUAUUAGGAUUAUAUGUGGAUUAUUAAAAUUUUUAUUUGGUUGUUAGGAUUGUAUUGAUAGAUUAUUAGGAUUUUUUAUGUUGUUAAGAUUGUAUGUAAUUUGUUGAAAUUUUUAUGUGGUUAUUAGGAUUAUAUAUGAAAAAAAAACAGUACAAGAAAAAGGCGGUGAAUAAUUUAUCACUUUUGUGAAAAAUUUGUAAGGUCUUUCAGAGAAAAUUUCAUUCUGGCUCCUAGUUGGUAAAAAAAGGAUUAGUUUGUCAAAAAAACAAAAAUUGAGUGGGUUAUUUACCUAAAUAUGAAAUUUUAUAAGGUUAUUUCGACAAAAAGUCCUUAAAAAUAAAAAUAAAAAAUGAAAAGAAGACUUUUUCAUGAAAUCUGAUAAAAGUUUUUCUGUCUAAUAUUUAGGGUAAACUUCAAAUACCAAUCCUGUGUGGUUUCACACUUUUUCAUUUUAAUGCCAUGUGGUUUAAAAUGUAUCAAUUUAGUAUCAUGUGGUUUUAUUUUUGUCUUUUAGUCAGUCCCUCUGUUAACUUUUUAUUAAAUUAUAUACAAAAAAAAUUUUAGAUACUCUAUCUAUAGUUUAUCGAAUAUUUACUUUAGUACCCUUUAGUUUUAAUUUUGUCACUGAUUUAACGAAAAAUUAAUAAAGGGGAUAAUAAAAAGAGAAAAAUAAAACCACAGGGUACGAAAGUGAGACACUUUAAACUAUUUAUAAACCUAUAUGAAUUCAUAAUAUUUUUUGCCACGUGACAUAUUACCCUUCAUUCUCAUAGCUCAAUUUUAAAUCAAAUCACCUUCUCCUCUUCUUAACACCCAAUCCUUCAACCCCCUAUUCCUCUAAUUAUAUGUAAGGUAUAACAUUUAAUUAUAUACAACUGACUGUCCCUAGCGCAAGUGGCAAAAGGACUUGGUGAUUGGUACCCGAGAUCCAAGUUCGAAUCUUAGUUGAUUCACAUUUCUAGCUAAAUUUAUUUCUAAAUGAAAUAAACGAAGCGGGUAGCAUGGGACCUUUCUCUCUCAAAAAAAUAUAUAUAUAUAUACACCAUAUUAAUAUUCUAUUAAUAAGUAGGCUUUAUAACUUUAAUCUACUCCCCUUCUCCAUUAAUCUCUCAUUCCCUCUCUUUUGUAACUUUUUUACAUGCACAAUAAAAAAAAUAUUAUUGUUUAACCUCCCACCCCACACUCAUUUUCAUAGCCCAAAUUUAAAUCAAAUCAUCUUCUCCUCUUCUCAACACCUAAUCCUUCACCUCUCCACUCUUCUAAUUAAAUGUAAGGUGCAACAUUUAAUUACAUGCACCAUAUUAAUAUUCUAUCAAUGAAUGGCUUUAUAACUUUAAUCCACUACCCUCCUCCAUUAAUCUUUCAUCCUCUUUCUUUUGUAACUCUUUUGCAUGCACCAUAAAAAAAUUAUUAUCGUUUAAUCUUCCACCCCACACUCAUCUUCCUCUUUCUCUCAUUGUGUUAACGAAGAUGAUAAAGACGAAAAAGAAGAAGAAGAAGAAGAGCCUGCGAAGAAUAUUGUCUUAUUCUAGAAGUAUUGUCCCGCGAAGCCGAGCCGCGGUCCAUAUAAGUGCCCGCUGAGCCAGUCCGCUCCUAGGCCCCUGCUCACCAUGAACUCGAGAAUCGCAAGAACUUUUUGGUAAAUCCAAAUUAUUUGAGAAUUAGAAUUUUUGUGGUUGAUGUGAUGGCAAGUCUGUGUCAGUUUAGAUAUUGCAGUUUGGUGAUACAGGAGAUGUUUGUUCAUAGGUCGCAAUAGAAAUCCAGAAGCGACUCGGCACGGGGAGCAACUACGAGCUGAAGAUUAAGAAGAUAUAUGAGGUUUGGAUGAGCAAGCUCGCGUGGAUGAAGAUGUGCUUAUAUUAGUUUUUUUUUAUAUUUUUGUUUUAUUUUCAUUCUAUGACUAUUUUUUUGAGUAGGCGCUGUUAUAGGCAAAGUCCCUUUCGUAGAUUAAGAAAUAUGAUGUGGAGACUGCAAUCUGAAAUCUCACCCAAAAUUUUUUUAAGCCGGAUAUGUUAACUUAUUAUUUAUGUGUUUCAUAUCCUUAAUCUAUUUUGAUGCUUGGAUAAAGAUGCUUGAUUCAGCUGAAGCUAGCUUUUUUUUAUCUUUCAUAACGGAAUGUUCAAGAGGCACAUAAUACAAUAAAAUUGUAUGUCUUUUACUGUUUUUUGAUGAUUUAAAAAAAAAAUUAUAUAAACUUCUAGCUAUAAUUUUAUUUUUUUAAUAGUUAAAUUUAGUCAUGCAAAUUUGCUGUGCUUAACAUAGUAUACCUUCCUAUAUAUUAAUAAGCUGUAAAUAUAAAUUUUAUUAAAAUUUUAAAAUUUUAUUUUUAUUAUUUAUCCGCUGUAUCGUGCGAGUCUCUACACUAGUAGGAUAUUAAAGUGAGAAAGUGGGAAACCCCACGGGUGAUAUUUAAAGUUUUUUUCUAAAAAUUAUGAUGGACCAAACACCUCCUUAGGGAAUGUAUUAAAUUCAAAUCAGAAUGACCAACAUGAUGAUUUGGAAUAUGGGUCAGGCAUAUUUAUUUACCUACAUAAAGAUUUAAGAGUAGCUUUUAAAAGCAUAGGAGCUCAAUUCUAUAUAUAUAUAUAUAUAUAUAUAUAUCCUAAGUUUAGCAUGUGAACAACUUUGUAAAAAAGGGUGAGAAUGAUCUAUUUAUGAAAAACCCCCCUACUUGUUCAUAACAUGCUACAAAGUAUGACCCACAUGAUCUGCAAUUUUUGUGCCAUCAUUGUAGCUUGGAGCUUAAUCUAUGUGAAACUCUCUAUUAUGUUGGUACUAAUCAUUUUUAUGGCCCUCUCCUCUUUAAUUUAGUGAUUUGUGCGAACUCCACUUUGGCUUUGUAAUGCAUUUAGAGAGAGAGAAUAGGAUAUAGGUAGGUAGUAGACUGAUUUUAAUUUUUUAGUAAAAAGGAAUAAAAAAUAUGUAAAUGCUCCUUUGAUGAUCUAUAUAAAAAAUUGAAGCCCUUGUUUUCAAUGCUCUGUAAGGGGGUGUUUGGUUCCUCCUAAAAAAUUAUUUUCGGAGGAAAAAAAAAAAAAAAACUUUAAAUAUCACCUUUAUAAUUUGUACUUCCUCACCAGUAGUUUGAGAUGUAUAAUUUUCAUACCAUGUGGUUUUAUUUUUUUUUUUUUAUUAUUUUCUCUACUAAUUUUUUUGUUAAAUCAGUAAUAAAAUUAAAACUAAAAGGUACUGAAAUGAAUAUUCGAUAAACUAUAGGUGGGGUAUCUGAAGUUUUUUGUAUAUGAUUUAACGAAAAGUUAACAGAGGUGCUAACGUAAGGAGAAAAAUGAAAUCAUAUGGUACUAAAUUAAUACACUUUAAAUUACAGGGCACUAAAGUGAGAAAGUGUGAAACCACGAGGAUGGUAUUUGAAGUUUGCUCAAAAUAAAAAACCUUUUCAUGGGGAGUAUCUUUUUCAUAUAAAAAAUUCAGAAAAUUAAAAGAAAGUCUUUUCCAUAAAAUCUGAAGAAAAAAAAUUUCAAAUAAUUAUUCUUUUAGAACCGAACAUCGGAAAAUACUUUUCCAGUCAAAAAAAUUUAUUUAUUUAUUUAUUUUAUUUUAUUUUAUUUUUUUCUGUGCAUCCCCUAACAUCUGACAGAAACUACUAUUAGCAUCUGACAAACCAUGGCAGAUUUUAUUUUAUUUUUUUAAUAUCAGACAACACAUUAAUUGAAGACAAGGGCUUCAAUCUUUUAUAUAAGAGAAAAUGCUGAUUUUUUUUUUUUAAGCUUAGACCCAAAUUAUAUUUUAGCUGAUAUGGACAAAAUAUAUGCUUUAAUAAUAAUUAAUAGAUAAAAUUGUAUGGAGACACAUCAUUAACUUUUGAUUUUUGUGAUUUAAGUGAUACUAGUCAGUUAAAUUUAAGAUUGUUUCAAAUUUACAUAUUAAUACUCUUCAAGUUUAAUAACUUUACUCAAUCGGUUGCAAUUAGCAUUAAUCACUAAUAGAGCCAUCAAACUGCGCAAAAUUUUUAACUUAACUAACUAGAAUACCAUAACAUAAUUCAAACAGAUCAGAAAAAGUAAAUUUAUGGGGUUCUAAUUCAAAAAUGGGCCUAAAUUUGAUGGGGUUUUAGUGACACUUUUUCAUUCAAUUAAUUCAACCAUUUUAAAAGAUCUUGUAUAUCUUGCUUUAUCUGCUUAGUCCAAACUCCCACUUUUUUCUUUUCUUUUUUUUUUUUUUGCCCUAGAAGACAUUAAAAAACUGCAACCAUCAUGCAAGGGAUCACUCUUUGUGCCAGUUGAGGGGACAAUAAUAAGCACAUGGUGUGUUUUUUUUUUUUUUUUAGUGUGUGGGUGUUAUUAAAGUCCAAAUUAAGCAAUCUUUGGAAUAGAUAAUGUGAGGGCAAAGGAAACAGAGAAUGUCGAGUAAACUCCGUAUUGAAUAUAAAUAUUAAGAAUACAGUUCUAUGAUAGUUUAAAUUUUUAGGGAUAUACAGUUGUUUCUCAUAAUUUAACGUGGCAGCAGAAGUUCAAUUUUUGUCAGAUCUUUAGUCUCUCAUUUAAUUUUCUCUUAUUUAAUUUAAAUUCAUGUCUUGAGACUAUCAAAUGAGUGUCGAAUCUAGACAUGUGUAGGACUUGGUAAUCCAACUCGUUGUUCGCGAGCCAGUUCGAAAUGAGCUCGAAAUCGAUAGCUUAUUUUUAUAAACGAGUCCAACACGAGUUGGGGUCAGCUCGCUCACGUUCGGCACAAUAUAACAUGAAUAUAUAUAUAUAUAUAUAUAUAUAUAUAUAUAUUAAAUUUCUACUGUUUGUAUAGUAGGCCAACCCAAAUAUAAAGGGACCUAUAUAUAUUUUGUAAAUUUUAAUUAUUAGAUGAAGAUUCUAAUCUUCUAUUUUGUUUUCAACUUUCUUACUCAUAGUAGUAGAGCUAACAACUUGACUUAUUGUUCGCGAGCCAGCUCAUAUUCUAUUCAUUAAUAAAUAAGCCAAACAUGAGCUGAAUUUUUCAGCUUGAUGUUUUAAUGAGCCAGUUCGUGUUCGGCUAGUUUAAUAAACAUAGGGAGCACGAGCUGGUUCCAACUCACUCGUGUUCGGCUCAUAGACAGCUCUAGAUAUGAGGGGAGUAUUGAAUUAAUAUAAAUAUUAAAAACUCGCUCUUUAUCAGCUUAAGCUUUUGAAGAGGUACAGUUGUUUCUCAUAAUUUAAACACCCCCCUCAAUCUUUGUAUUGAUCUAGGGUGGUCCCUAGCUCAAUUUGAAUCUUUAGAAAACGCAAAAAAAGAUAUGCAUAUGAGACCAAGAUCUAUCACGAGAGCUUGUAGGGAGGUACAUUCUAUUCUAGGUGAGUUGGCCUUUUGUGCCCUCUUUUCUUCUUCAUUUAAAUUGUAUAUUCAACACAGGAGUAAAAAGCACUUCUGACCCAAAAAUUUGUAGCUUUUGUUGUGGCAGAAAGUUGAUCCGACUAGCUCGAGAUACUUUUUUUUAAAAAAAAAACUGCUAUUGUUGACUUUUGGUUUAUAUUUUGAAAAGUUUUUGUUCACUUUACCUUUUUAUUUCUUUCUAUUUUCAUGCCUUAACACUACGAAUCCCAAGAUUUGGCCAAGUUGGCCUAAUUAUUUCUCACUAGAAGAGAUUAUGCUAGUAGAGACAUUUUUUAUUUAUUUGAUUUUGAAAUAGAAUAUCUUUUAUCGGAUUGUUGGAGCUAACCAUUAAUUUUAAAACUCAAGCUAUUAGAAAGAUACAACCUAAUAUACUUAAACUGUACAAAUACAACGCCCGCAGAUCUCGAUUGUGAAUUAGCUCAACGAGCCUCAUGUCACUUCGAAUAUGAUUCGACCCAACCCAACAUUUUGUCAUUUCGAACGUGAGUCGGCUCAAUCUAACGUUCUGCCAUAGGACGGAAUGCUGGUCCUUUAAGCCAACAUUUCUAACUAUUUUUAACUUGUUUGGUAGAUUCGAAAGCUAAAUGCUACACUCGCAACAUCUUCACACAUUAAAGUUCAAAAUGUUUAAUCAUUAGAACUAAAUGUAGAUGCAUGUACAUGAUUAGUACAAUUUGCACAUAUUUCAUUAGUAAGUAAAAUACAAGGUUGGAAAUAAAUUUAUGUCCCAUCUAAAUAACAUGUAUCUACUAUUACAUUUAUGACAAAAUGAUCCACAUGGGGAGAUUCCAAUUACCAUCCCUUCUCCCUCACAGUUCUUAUUCCUAAUUAUAUAGGUUGAGAAAGGCCAAAAUAAACACUCUAAAAAAACUCAAGAUACAAGUUUUAAAGCAAAGAAAUUAAUUAUAAAAUUGCAUUAAUAAAUUUGAAUGCCCUACAACCACAUUGAGUGGAAAGAGUUGCUCUUUUUUCACUAAUGUUGUCUAAUUAGACUAGACUGGAUCAGUUGGUCGAAUUAAUCGGGUCUGAUUUGAAACGAUGAUGUUAAUCGUUCGAUUCAUGUUGAACCCAACAAUUUUCUUAAAACUGUUUGUAUUGGAUGAUUUAAACAGUCGCGAUUUAUGGUGAUCCUACCAACUUAAUUAGUUUAAGAUUGAACCAAAAAUUUUAAGAUAAAUUAACUUUUAAGGGUAAAAAAAAAAAGAGACAUUUAGGUCUAACCUUUGUUGAAUAACCACCAUUAUUAUCUGUUUUUAGAAUAUCCUUAAAAGUUAAUUUAUCUUAAAAUUUUUGGUUCAAUCUUAAACUAAUUAAGUUGGUAGGAUCACCAUAAAUCGCGACUGUUUAAAUCAUCCAAUACNGAAUAUCCUUAAUUGUAAUAAUAUCUCUUGCAUAUAUGUAUGUGUAUGAAAAAGUCAUGUACUAUAUUAUAUAGAAUAUUCACAUCUAUUUUUUAAAUGUAUUUAUAAGCUGCUGAUGUAUUAGCAGAAAAGUUCAUUAAUUAGUUUUUGCAUGCAGUUUAAGAAUAUCACAUGUGUUUGUCGAUAUGUCAUAGCCUAUAAAGAGAACAUUCUGAGGUACCAAAGCAUUUUCUUUUCUUUUCUUUUUUUCCUUUUUCAAAACCAAGUUCAAGCAAAAGAAUCACUUGUUUUUUAGAGUAAGGUAGCAUGGCAUACUAUCCGAUUUAUUCGGAUUUUUUAGAAAGUAAAAAAAUCGCUUGUUGAACCAAAAAAAAUGAACCAAAUGCUUUUCUAGUUCAGCAACUGGUUCGGUUUUUAAAUAUUUAUUAGUCUCUCUUAAUAUGAAAUAACUGUUUUUCUCCAAAAAUUUAAAUUACUUACAGAAACAAUCACAGUUAUCUAAAUAUUUAUGUGUUCGUAUUUUUAUAUUUUAUGUUCAACACCACUCUCUCUCUCUCUCUCUCUCUCUCUCUCUCUCUCUCUCUCUAUAUAUAUAUAUAUAUAUGUAUAUAUCUCUUCCCACAUCACCAAACCAACCAAAGGUUAGGAAAAAAAAAGAAAGAAAGAAAGAAAGAAAAAGACCACAACAUUGAGCACCAUGGAUUGGUACUCCUGGUUAUCAAGAACCACCCUUGAGCCCUCUCUUGUGUAUGAGUACGGCUUCAUGUUCACCCGAAACGAGCUCGAGGGCGACGAUGUCGCGUACUUCGACCACGAGUUCCUGAAGAGCAUGGGCAUCUCCAUAGCCAAGCACAGGUUGGAGAUCCUCAAGCUAGCCAUGAAGGCCAAGAAGAAGAGUAGGGGAGGAGUCGGAGGAGGCUCCAUGACCACUACUACUCAACACAUGCACAAGCUCCUCACCACCGCUCUAAAGAGGACCAAGAGUUGCAUAUCAAAGUACAUGCACACAUUGGUUCAUCCGAACCGCCACGACUCCUCGUCGAUCGUAAUCGUGCGUGGAGAUCGGCGGCGGGGAACGGAAGGGGUGCUUAAGAGGGAUAGGAAGAUGGUGGUGGUGCAACAAGGGAGGUUGAUGUUCACAAAUGGUGGUGUUAAGGUGAGUAGUAAUUGUCCUUCUCCUCUAUCAAGGAGUGCAACUAGUCCAAUGGUGAGUAGUUGUCAUUGUAAGAGUGGUGAGGGCGAUGAUGAUGAUGAUAAUGAUGAUGAUGAUGGGUAUAGGGGGAGUAAUGAUGGGAAUACAUUCAAGUGGGAUUCAAUGUUUAAGGAUUUGAAGCCCACAUGAUGAUGAGUUUUAUGUGAACCUAACUUUGUAUGUGUUUGAGAUGACCAUUUUCUUUUUCUUUUUCUUUUUUUGUUUUGUUUGGGAUCCUUUUGGUGUGUAGGUUGGUAGUAUAUAUUAUUUCUCAUAUAUAAAUAUAUAUAUAUAUAUAGAGAGAGAGAGAGAGAGAGAGAGAGAGAGAAUUAGGAUAUGAGAUGUCAUUACUCUUCAUAAGUUGCAAUUAAAGCUAUUAUUGGUUUGUGUUUUAUGGUUUUCCCAAUUGGAAUUUUGCUUUGAUUUCUUUUUUCUUUGUUUUUUUGUUUGAGUCAGAUCCAAAAACUCUAUAGCAUGAUUUCAUAUUGCUACUUCAACUUAUAAAUAAACUAAUUAAAAGGUUUUUAUUCAACCACUAAUUACUUCUUAUUUCUGAUUGUUUUUUUAAGCACACGCUAGUCGCAUCAAAGAAAAUGGCUUAAUUAAUAAUGUAGCUGACACAAUCAAACAAACAAAAAAAAGAAAAGAAAAUCUAAUCUAAACUUUUAUUACAGUUCAUGUCACAAUCAGAUGCGAAUGGUGACUUAAAGGUUAAUUAGAGUAUGUAGAUUGCUUAUGUUUACUUUUUCUUUCUUUUCUUUUUCCUUCUUUUCACUUUUUUGAAGUUGAAGUGCAAUCACUGUAAAAGUUCGCAAGAAGGGAAUACAUAUAUUUUCAAUUAAUUAUGGUUUUCUCAAAUAGCCUAAAAGAAAGGAAUGCACCUAUACAAUCAUGCCAAAGACCACUAAUACUGCUACGACAAACGCACAAACAAAAACGAAAACGAAAUGACGAACACGAAAUAAUCAAAUCACAAAUAAAAAAAAAAAAGAGCACAUAAAUUUAUGUGAAAAAUUCUUUACAGAAAAAUAUUACGGGCGAGGGAAGAGGGAACUUCACUAUCAAAAAAAGAAAUACAAUGUUCGAGUACAACCAACCACCAUCAGUCACCUCUAGGGCAAAAAACGAGAAAGGAAACUCUUAAAGGAUUUCGGAUCCGAUCCAAUCCAAUCCGUACAGCGGAGCCCCCCGCACCCCGCACUCGGGCCUGUCAGCCCGAGCCUUCUGCUACCCACCACAGACAUUUUUUUUUUCAUUAUUUUAUUUUCAAAUUAGUCGCACCGCGAAACUGUUGGUGAGUCGAAAUUCCAAACUAAAGUCAAUUAUCAAUUUUGAGUCACAUCUAACAAAUACUGUAGUUAGAUGCCAUUACAAAUGCAUCCCAACGUGAUGAGUAGAUUCAAAGCUUGCUAAAAGGUAAAUGUUAUAUUUGUGUAUCUAUAUCUGCAGUACAAGAGAGUAAUCAUAUAAAGAUCAAAGCGCGUUCAUAAAUUCUCGAAAAAAAAGGGGGAUAAAAAAAACUUACUAGCAAAAAAUAAAAAGUUUAUUUAUGAGCUAUUUGAUCCAUUCCUAGUGUUUCAGCUCUUAAUAAACUUGUUUAUUUGGACCAAAUCACAAUUGCAUCAAUUUGAGUACUCUCUUUCUUGCACAACUUUACAUUCUAUAGGAUGGUUGGCAUUAAUUAUUAAUUUCAAAAGCUCGAGCUAUUAGACAGAUGUAAUCAAUUCACUUAAAUAGACACGGCGCCCACAGAUCUCAAUAGUCAUUCAGCCCUUCGGUUCAAUCCAGUUUUUCGCCAUUUUAAAUGCGACUCGGUCCAACCUACUUUUUUGCCACAAAGCAGGAUGCUAGUUCCUCUAAGUCACCAAACUCUACACAAGAGCUGUUAGGAGCAGAAAAUACCGGAUGUAUAUGAUGGCUAAGAUCUUCUAAGGGAGGGCAUCUUUCAUUCUAUAAUUUCACUAUAUAUAACUUGAAUCGUUGCCCCACUUCUUGUGUGCUUUAUUCUCUUUAUUUUUUUAGUAAAAAUAUAUAAAACAUAUCUCAACUGUGGACCAUUUUUAAUUGACUAUCCAAUCUUUAAAAGUUUUGAGUUUACUAUCUAAUCUUUUAAUUUGUUUGAUUUGAGUCAGUGAACUACACUUUACUUAAAUGCGCUGUUUAUUUUUACAAUUUCAGUUAGUAUAGUUCAUGCAAUUUUCACAACUGUACAUUUAUUAAAGUAAUAGAAAGCAAAUUAAAUUUUAAAUUCAAAUUGUCAUUGACUAACUCAAUUAAAUCAAACAAAUUGAAAAAUUGAAUAGUCAAAUCAAAUUUUUAAAAGAUUAAAUAAUAGAUUCAAAAUGGUCUAUAAUUUUGAAAAGUUUUAUACAUUUUUACCUAAUUUUUUCUCCCCAUUCUCUAUUGUGUUUUGGAAAAAAAAAACUUAAGUGCGGAGCUCCCCAACGACGUAUUGUUAAGGAGUCCCAAUUCGUCGCCACGUGUCACUUUUAUCUCUGUCCAAUUAUUAUAAUCCUACUCUUUACGGUUUAAAUUUCUUUUUAAAUUUUAGUAUUAAAAAACAUCCAACGAACUACUAGAUAGAUACAAAAGUAACACGUGUCAACAGAUCGGGAGUCCCCUAAUGAGACAUCGUUAAGGAGCUCCCUACUAAAAUUUUAUCCUGCUUCAUUGGGAAGCUCCCUACAGAAAUUUUAUCCAGCUCUUCGCAUCCAAACUAGAAUUUUCCAGACAUUGUCGGGCAAAACAAGCACAAGAUUCAGAAAAAGCGAAGGUCAUGCAUGUACAGUUUCUUCUUUCUCCUUUUUUUUUUUUUCUGGAAAUGAAUGCCAUAAAAUAACAUGUAACCCUCAAAUUCUCUUCUACUGUAAUCAGACUUUACACUCAGCAAACCCAUCAUCAUUGUUGCCACCAUCCUCUUUAAUUACUUUGUUGCUUUUUCACAUAUAUAUAUAUAUAUAUAUAUAUAUAUAUAUAUAUAUAUAUAUAUAUAUAUAUAUAUAUUAUAUUAUAUAUAUAUUCUUAAUUUGGAUGUUUGUACUUUGCAGAACAUGGUCUAAUUAACCAGGCCAGAUAUGCUUGUGAAAAGUAGAGUGUGCAGCAAACCUCGUGCCUUUCUUAAGCAUGACAUUUUCUGAGAAAAGAAGGAAAUUAAGAAUUAAAAUCUGAAGUUGCUUAUCUUCUUUAGCAAAUAAUUAUUAUUGUGCUCUUCCAUCUCAUAGCAUAUUAGCUGUCUCUCUUCCCCCCCCCCCCCCUCCCCCCCCCCCUCUUUUUCUCUGUUUUUACCAAUAGCAAUAUUACAAAUUUUAAGAUCUAAUAGCAGGAGUUCCACUAAAAAGGUACCAGAUUCUGUUGUAUAAAGAAAUUUUGAAAAGAUUUAGUAUAUGCAGUAUGCUCAAAUAACACUUUAUUGAAUGACACUAUACCUUACAACAGAGCUAAAUAUGUUUUUCAUCUCAUGAUAGAGAUUGAAAGAAAAUACAAGGUGACAACCUACUCCCCGCAAAUGACCAGAGGUAUUGAAUUCAAGUUUAAUUGAAAGUCCGCAUCUUGCGCAUAUUAAAAGUUUCGACCCCAAAACAUGAAGCAAAUGUUGAACAUAAAAAGAUAAUAACACAACGAAAGCAGUUGUUUCUUAGUUGUUUCGUAAUUCUCUAUCAUGAUCACCUAAAUUUGGCUGCUGGAAUAGUUUUACUACAAAAACUAGUGACCAAACUUAGAAACCUUCAAUGGCGACAAACUAAAUAUAUAUAAGAAAAAUGAAAUUCUAAACUCCAAAAGUAAAGGCUCCAAUUUCUAUGAAUUGAACCCAUUAGGGGUCAUAUAACAUAAGUAUCACUAUUGCUUCUUCGAACAAUCUAAUUCUCAAAUAAUACUUCUGUAGAAUCUCCGGGUAAGCCAAACAAUCUAGUUUACCAAUCUAUCAUUAGAAAACACUCUUCCUAAAUAGGCCAGUAUGGGGGGAACAUCAUUUCCUAGAUUAGAUUAAAGUGAAAAGAAAAUUGGGUUUUAAAAAAGGGCAAUUUUCAAGAUCAGUACAUAUAACUGCAUCAUAAAAUUUCAGUGGUAUUAUUUGUUAAAUUAUGAUGGCUCAUACAUUAAACACCAUAGUAAAGUAAAAUAAAUGGUCUAGAUCAUAAUUUUAUAUAGAUCCACCACAAAUACAUAAGUGGUUUGGAAAUUUCAUGGGGAUAUAUUCCACCACAAGUAUACUGUCACCAAGUACACAUAUCCUAGUCAAACUUGGUAACAAAAUAAAAAGGGAAAUAAUCAAGAACACAUAAUAAAUGUUAUUAAUUAUGUUCAUGAUUUUGUUCUCUCUCUCUCUUUUGAGAACAAACUAAUCAGUAAUCACACACCUGGACCUUUAACAAUCAAUAGCAAUUAAUUUAUGUCCAUUCAUACACCUUCUGGAGAGAUCCUUAUAAGCUUCCUCAUCACAAGAAUUUAAUUUGAGAGAGAGAAUUGAUUCUACUUAUAUUCUACAAAUUAAAUGUAGAAUGAAAAGAAAUAACAGUGCAAUUAAUGCAACAAACUAGUCAUCAAUUCUCAUUAAUAUUGGCAUUCCAUGAUGAUGUGCAUUUUCUUCACCCAAUUCCACAGGUGUUCUAAGGCAAGUGAAAAAAACACAAGGGGGAUUUAUGUAAAAUCUUGUUUCUUAUGCUCUAGAACUCAACAGUAAUUAAUAUUUAAUUUCCUCUUUUUUUUUUCCUUCUAUUUUUAUCCUGAAAAUGAGCUACUUCAUGCUCAACUUUUCAUUGCAGUGGACCAGCUACCAGAUUGAGAAAAGAAGCAAAAAAAAAGAAAAAUAGAAAAAAAGAUGAUGAUGAUGAUGAUGAUGAUGAUGAUAUUCCUCCAAUCUAAAAUAACAAAAAAUUUAACUUAUUUUCCCUAAAUAAUAAAUAAAAAUGUAUAAUAAUCACUAACUUAAUUUGAUGUAAUCAUGCACUCACCAGAAUAUCAGGCCUAAAAAAUCGAUCUAAUAGAAAACAGCCACACAUCUACCCAACACUAAAAGAAUAGUUUGUGAUUAUAACAAACAAAAAAAGAAAAUUGAUUUAAGAUUCUCAUGAGUACUGUUUCACUGCAUGCGCCGCUGCAACUUCCUGAUCUCUACCAUUCAAAAUACAAAACCUGGAAGGCUUGGGCUCGAAAUUCCACCUCCGUCGCAGUUGGCGGCUCGACGGCCGAAUGAUUGCCUGCACGACGAGGGCUGCUCUUGUCGACCGAGACUUCGUUUGCGGAGGCAGAGGCGGAGGCGGCGGGCGGCAUGGGCAGUAGUGCCUGUUGCUGGUGCUCCUGUGCAGCUUGCACCGGAACGAGCCAGGGUGCGUCGUCGGCGCACAGAGGCAGAUGUUGCGCUUUGCAGAAGAAGAAGAAGAAGAAGAUGAUGAUGAUGAUGAUGAUGAUGAGUUUAUUGCAGAAGCCAUGAAUAUAUGGUGGUGGUGGUGGUGGUGGUGGUGGUGGUGUAUGUAGUAAGUAAUAUAUAGUAGUGUGUUAGUAGUAUAUGUGUGUGGGGCUUUUUUGUCUAGCUAUUUGUAACUGCUUUUGCUUCUUUGGUGGGUUGGUUGUUCUCCAGCACUUUAAUAAGUAGGUAAGCAGAUUACUGCAGUUUUGUUGUUCACUGUAACUGCACUGACAAGGGGGUUUUCAGAAAAGUUUUGAGGAGAAAUGGAUAAAUAUGGUUAAGAUCUUUUGAUAAAAACGUACAUAACUUACGUGAACUAUGGACAAAAUUUUGAUUUGGCUAUCCAGCCUAUCAAAAUUUUGAUUUCAAUUCAUUUGAUUUGAGUCACUCAACGGCAAUAAUUGUGAGAAUUGCACGAAAUAUGCAAACUAAACCUAUAAAGAUAAAACGAUGCAUUCAAAUUUUAAAAUCAAAAUGCGGUUGAUGGAAAAAUUGAAAGGUUGGGCAGCAAAAAUCAAAUUUUUGAAAGGUCGGUUUGAAACUAUUUUUUUUCCUAGAAAAUCCAAUUGAAGCUAUCAAACUUACUUUUUGGUUGCUAUAAAAUUCAAAUUUGGAAAAAGAAAAGGUUGGUUUGAUGGUUUUGACCUAGUUGGGACCAGCUCCAACCAACAAGUUUUCUCCAUUACAAAUGUAAAACUCUUUAUAACUAUUGUUUCAACAAUGGCUUCACAUUUGCAAACAAAAUAUAAUUCCCCCUAAUAAUUAUUUUCUUAGUUAUCUUGCUUAGAUUAGGAGGAUGAUUAGGAUUAAUGUCAUAAGCUAUUAAUGUCAUAAGCUAAUCCUUCUGCUAAAUUGGAUUUCAUUUGAAGCCCAUAGUUUGAGAGGCACAGAAACCCACAGUUGCAAUGAAAACUGUGGGCUCUGAAAGAGUAGGUUCAUGGAAUCCUACUGACACUUACCUUUCCUAUUCAUGUUACUUUCCUGUUGUAGAGAAAAUGUCACAGAGCCACAUGCACCUCAAAAUGCAUUAAGCAUUAUACAAUAGGCAAAUAGUAGUUAGUGAGUGGUUUGACUUUUCAAAUUUCACGCAUAGCAUCAAAUUUGAACUACUGUAUCCAAGAAUUGCUCGUGCCGAUCAUGCCAUACCAUGCUGAGGCUGUGCCGCUUGUGCCAUACCAUGCUGAGGCUAUGCCGACAUGUCAAACAAAACUAUGGCGAACGGCAUAAAAAAAACAAGUCUUUUUUAACAUUUUAGAUUAUUUUUGAAUUUUUUUGAGAUAAAGAGAUUGUAUGAUGGUUUUUUAAUCUUAUAAAUUUGCUAACUUUUUGGACCAAAUAAUUGGACCAUAUAUAGUGAAAAAAAGUACAAAUUUGGAGAUGGCUCCCAACUUCUUUUAUCUUUUUUGAUCUAGUGAUGAUAGUGUCUUCUUUCAGUUUUUUUUUUCCCGAUCAAUUUUGAUUAUAAUUUCUUCUUUGUGAAUAUACUUUUAUAUCAUGUAUAAAUAGUAUUCAUGAGUUGUUAAGAUCUACAAUUCUAUUCUACAGAAUAGAGAACUCUACAAAAUAUUAACACUUGAACUACUUUUUAAGGCAUCAAGAGAUAUUACAACUCUCUAAGAAACUACUUUUUCAUUAAAAAUUAUUUUUUUAAAAAAAUAUCUAUACCAAUCCGUGCUAGUAUGCUAAUUGCGUGCCACUGGCACAGAGGGCCGUGCCGACAUUGGCACAAGCCUGUUGCUAUGCUGUGCCGUGCCGGCAUACCGGUACAUCCCGUACCACUGACACGGCAAUCCUUGCUGCUCAACGAAUUUCACACACACGCAUAGCAAGUCAACAGAAUCAGAGCCACUCUGAUCUUCUAAUUACCAGAAACUUUUAUGACAAAGAAGAAAUAAUUGUCGUAAUCUACCAAGUAAAUCAGGAACAUUAACAGUAUCAACGAAUUUUACCUCAACUUUUAUUUCUUGCCUUGUCAAUAAACAAAAUUAACCAGUUUCUUGUUGAUAUACAAUUACAAUACUUACAAGGAGAGAAAAUAUACAAUGUACCUGAUUGAGCUCAUGGCUUUUGCGCCGAGAACAUGAUAAAAGCCCUCUGAACUUUGCUGCUAUAAUUGAUUAGCCCGCACGAUUUGCACAAAUCUUUGAUCUCUUUCUCAGUAAAGUAACUGUAGCUAUUAGUGACUUGCCCGAAAAGCUGCAAUAUAUAUCAGAUAAAAGUAUUCAGUUCAACUGAUUUUGCAUGGAAAAUGUGACUUGCAAUUAGCUAAUAACCUGUCUGAGAGGCCUCAGUGCUUCAUUAUAGAAGGGAGUAUUCAAUGGCGAUGAUAAGAAGGUAGUGGCCACGAAGAUGCCACCACUUCUUAGGACCCGACUUAUUUCAGCUACCUGGUAAAGAUCAUUGGAAUCGUUGGUCUUGCACUAAGUAACCAAAAUGUCAUUACAUUACAACAUGUUAUUUGUCAAUUGAAUAAAUUCCUAUCAAACUUAUCACUAAUUACGGAAAUACUAACAAAUUGUACCUUGUUACUCGUUUUGAUUGAAUCAAAACCAAAAAUUGGUUACUCCAUUGUAUUUGUGAUGAUCCUAGUCUGAUGAGAUACCUCCAAUGGCAUUCACAUUGUAUUCUAAAUCAAACAGAUCUCACACACUAAGGCAUAAAAGUACAAAUUUCUCAUGGAUUCAGGAUCUCUAAAAAGUGUUAACUUCAGGGAUUUUAUCUUAUUCAAAUGGCUGGUUAGUACCCAACCCCCCCCAAAAAAAAGUGUUCACAAUACAACAUAAAUCCUCUAGAAAUAACCCUACUCAACCUCAUUCUAAAAAACGUUAAAUCUCUUGUGCCAUAAAAAUCCCGACUCCCAAGUCUAAAUAUGGCAAUCAAUCGUCUGCAACUCCUGCCUAUCUGCUUGUGUAAGAAAUCUUUCAGCAUAUUUGUGCCCUUCUUGUGAGACAAUUAUACUACUAUUUUCGACAAACUUCAUCAGACCUACCUGGGAAGAGUUAAAAAUUUCAUGUCAUAUCAUGACCAACAAAUGGAACAAUUUUUCCAUCUGUUAUCACUAAAUUCGCUAAGCCACAAUGGUUGAAGAAAUCAAAAACAACCAAAAGGCUAACCUAUCAUCAUCAACAUAAGCCAGAAUUAAAUUGAUAUUAAAUUAUCAUAAAAUUCCGUAGAGAAGUCCUGAGAUUCCAAGAUAAUUCUAACUGGAAUUAAAUUAAGGUCUGAUUAAACACAUGAUGGUGGUGCAAAGUCCAUUGAAAUUCGAACCAACAAAUGAAUAUAAAAAAAGAACAUUAUCCUCUCCAAGAUGUGUAUUUUUAAUCAGUAGAUCAAGGCCAUCAUCCUCUUCUAGAUGAUAAAACAGAGUGGUUUUAUUACUAAAGAUUCUUUUGGCUUAACUACAGCAAGCAAAUUUGCAACUCUAUCAUCUGUUUUGCAAACUUCGAAAAAUUCUUUAACUGAUAACAAAAUAAUCGGGCGUAAUUAUAUUGAUUUGUUAAUAACAAUGAUAAAUUUCUUUAUCUCCCAAGUCCAACCUGAACAAAACACUGCUGAUACAUCAGACACUUUCUAAGUUAUACUUUUGUUUAUUUUGAUGCCAUUCAAGAAAGGAAAAAAAAAAAAAAAAAAAAAACUUAAGCAUGUGAUUUGUUUCAAUAUAUAAAAAAUAAGGAAUGUAUGCUUACUGCAUUUGAAGGAGAGGGCCAACAAUGCAGGGCAGCACCUGCAUGAAUUGCAUCAACUGAACAUGAUCUAAAAGGAAGUCUUGAAACAUCUGCCCUUACAAGAGCAAGAUUGCUGUAAACAGUAAAAAAGGAAAAAAAAAAAAAAAAAGUGCAUAGUUAAGGCACACAAAAAUUCUAGCACAAAUUUGGAUUAAAACUACAAUCGGAUCAUACAUUUUGAUAGAUACUAUGAUGCCAUUGAAUAGUAAUUUCUAAAUUAGAGAUAUUUGCAAGGACCGAAACUGUCCACUAGUAGUAGCAACUUGUUGAGUUUGAACCAUUAGCUAAUGACGGACUAUUGUAGUGAGACAUUAUUAGUCCGAUAUGCUCGAUUAUUUAGUAUGAUAAGAACCCACUUACGUAUUUAAGAGAGUUUCAUCUUGCUUAAUGAAUUCGUAGCAUUGGCGAAGCAUAUUCUCCGAAAAAUCCAAGGCAAUAACAGCAGAGUAAGACCCAGAUUUUGCAAAUUUUCUAGAGAAUAAGCCACUCCCACAGCUCACAUCCACGAGCAGACCACCAGCUACUGGUUGGAAGUAAUCUUGAGCCAUCUUGAACUGCCAAAUCCAGCGAUAGACCUGUUAGUUUGUUCGUUGACGCAUGGAUAUUUCUAUACCGUGAUUGUAUGUGAAUCAUAUCUCGGUAUUCUAAUUCAAUUUCUUUGUGUUCAUGAUGAUGCCAGAAAGCCAAACUACAAUAAUCACAGAAUGUACCUCUUCAUCAGGACCAGGGAAGCCACUCCGGUUGAAGUUCUGACGCCAUCCUCUUUCAUAAAGAAACGAGACUAGUGGGCUCCUAUAUAAAUGAGGAGAAAACAAAGGUAUGCGGUAAGCAAACAUGACUUGUUUAACAUUCAGAUCCCAAAAGGCAAGAUGUAGUUUGAUGGCAAAGAGUCAUGGAAGGAAGAUAAAAAAGGAUAACUCUGUCAAUCAUUAAGACGUCUAACAUGACCUAAUACUUCAGUUAUGGGGUGGGUAUGUCUUUACAAACUUUCUUCUUUUAUUUUGACUAAAAGACAUACAGUGAUUCCUUAUGUAAUUGUCUACUAAAGAGAGGAAAGGUACAGAGAUAGACACAGCCGGCCCUAGCAUAUACCGUUGCUACACGAAAAUAACAAUUCAUACAUCUCUCACCAUCAUGACCUAUAUCAAAAGAAAUACAUAUAACACCCUACAAAGAAAAAAAAUAAUAAGAAGAAGAAAAAAAAAGUACUAAUUACUAAAAGAAACACUCCAACUAAAAUCUCUGUGAUUCAUAACUGCGCAGAAUUUGCUAAGCAUACUCUUGGAGAUUGCGCUCUUGCACGUGGCCAAAUACGAAAGUUAGAAUCGUAUAUCAAUCUUCCUUUAUCACUAAAAUGAUAAAAAAGAAACACGAUUUACGUACUCUAAUUCUUUACAUAUUGGUCAUGUCAAGAAUCAAGAUCCUCAUGCUAAUACAGUCUUAAUCUAGACCACAAAGGCUAACAUUGACUAUAAUCAUAACUAAAAGCUCCAGCAUGCUCAGAGGCAACAACGUCAAUGAAGGCCCUGUCAUGAGUCAACUCCUACAUACAAAUUAUUAUCAAAUUUACUUCAAAUACAUUGAACCCAAACUCAGAGCAUGCAAAACAAUCGACAAUGGAUAGCAAAAUGGAAAAACAAUAGCAUUUAAAGAGCUUCUUGUUAAACCUAAAUAGCUCUGUUCUAGCAGGUUUCACUUCACUGUACUCCGUAGUUCCUGAAGUAAUAGUAAGGUCCAAGAAGACAUCUUUACUCGUAAAUGACUUGUUGCAUUUUGCACACUUGAAUCCAGACCUAUAGAUCGCGGACCUGCAGAGAAUUUUAACUUCUUAACCAAAUACUCAGAAGUCAAACAAUCAAAUGAAUAGAAGAAACAUCAAUACAUACAAGUUUAAGCCCGAAGGUCCUUUUCUUAUCAGUGGCUCAUAGCAAAUCGGGCAUGCAAGGAAGUCGGUUUCUAAAGAACUGCUGCGCCGAACAUGAGUUUCCUGAAAAGAAGUCAUCUCAUGAGAAUAUCUCAUUCAACUUUAGCCCAAUUACACUUCAGCACCUGAACUUCAUAAAGUAAUAAAACCUAGAUAAAUUUUUAGUUUGUUUCAACCAAUCACCCAGUCACAAUUGCUACUAUAUUUCUUGUAACUAAUUACAGCAUGUGUUAUUAAACUUGGCCCACUAGAAGUGAAGUUCAUAUCACCUGAUUUCAUUUUUUGAAUAUCUUCGACGAAUUUAGAGGUACUUGAGUAGACUCAAAUGUUGGGGAAAACUAAAAAAAUUUGCAAUGAUUGAAGUGAAUUGAAAGUUAAUAUAGGCUUCUUCUUUUUUUUAACUAUCUCUUUUAAUUUUGAGUGACUAAGUGUAAUCGAGCGAAAGCUGAGGGAUCCAGCAAUUUUUCCAGUUCCAAUAUGCAGAGAACACAUUUAAAAUAAUUGCAAGAAAGAAAAAUCAAGCAUGUAAGUGAAAAUUAGAUGUGAAAUUCUUUGAGUAAUCAGCUAAAGCAUGUUAAUUCCACUCUAUCAAUCCUCCUCAAAAUGUUUAUCUCAACCACUUCACACGUCGCACUAAAAGUUGAGAAAUAAGCGCAAUACUAUUGCUACUCCCACGUGUAGUCCCACAUAUAGUCAUAUAAUCAAACGUCUAGAGCGCACAACCAGACACGCUUAAUUUUGUCUCGUUCUCGUGCAAAAGUCGCAUGCACGGAUCAAUUUAAAGGAGCAAUUUUUGCACAAAUUGGGGCGAUUAGUUGGAUUCUAAGAAGGAAUAACGAGAAAAGGAUGGAUCUGUGAAGGCUAUCCAAUUGGAGCGCACCGUCUCUAGAGCUGCAGCGGCGGCGGCGCGGGCUCCGGCGCGCCGGAGCAAGCGAAGAGGAAGGGUGCGGGGGCGGAGGCGGAGGAGCCAUGGCGGGGGAUCGGGGCGGAGAGGGAGGAGAGGGUUUCGCAGGGGAGCGUGGAACGAGCGAUGGGAGGAGGAGAGGGUUGGGGACGACGCCAUUGUUGCCACCUCCAUUGCUCUCUCUCUCUCUCUCUCUCUCUCUCUUCCUUCUCUCGGAGAUGGGAAAUGGGGAUCGUUGGGUUUUUUUUGGUGGGCGAAGGAUCUUCCACGUAGGACGAUGUGAACGGUUGAUAUUGGGUGGGCACACGUGUGAUGAUGCGACUAGGAAUAUUGAGGGAGAUGGACGGCUCUGAUGCACGGAAGAUUUGGUUCCAUUGCAUUGGUAGGGCUGGCAAAUGAGCGAGCCGGCUCGCGUUUGACUCGUGUUCGACUCGAUAUUUGACUCGCUCGAGCUCAACUCGAAAUUAAAUGAGCCGAGCUUGAACAAAAAAAAAGCUCGAAAUUCAUUUUAAGUCGAGCUUGAGUGCUCGAAAAGCUCGAAAAGCUCGAAUAUAUAUAUAUAUAUAUAUAUAUAUAUAUAUAUAUAUAUGAACUACUAUGCUAUCGAAAGUAUAGAGAUCUGUGCUUUCGAUUUUUUGAUUCUUAGAUCAAUCACUUAAAUCGUUUUUAUCUUUGAUUAAUAUUAUUAUUACCUUGUAGGACCACUCAAUCCUAAGAGCAUUAUUUAAUCCUAAGAGAAACCACAAUCAUCCCAACCAUACAAUUUUUAAUCAAAGGUCAAAAAUUCAAAAACAUCAAAUCCUCUAUAUUUUCGAUAGCAUAGUAGUUCUACACUAUAUAUAUAUAUAAUAUAAUAUAUAUAUAUAUAUAUAUAUAUUAUAUAUUAAAAAUAUAUAAAUAUAAUAUAUUUUAAUUAUAUAUAGGCUGAGUGAAUAAUCUUGAGUUUAGUUAAAAUUGGGCCAAUAUGUUGGCCCAUAAAAACAAACCCAAUAGAUAAAAUAAAAAAGCAAAAUUUUACUAAAUUUAUAUAUUUUUCCUUUCUUUCUUUCUUUCUUUCUGCUUCUUCUUUCCACGAGGCUUAAAUUUCAAUAUGUUUCUCUCUUUCUCUUUUUCUGUCUCUCAUCCUAAUGUGCCAAGCGGAAGCCCUCUAAGUUAUCAAGUAUCAUCAUAUACCCGCCGUUGCCUACCUUGCUAUUAAUUGUAUGCUUUAGAAAAUAUACAGAAUAUUUUUAAAGUAAAAAUUAUUAUUCAUAUAUAAAUUUUAAUUUUAGUUAUAUAUGAUUGGAUAGUUUAAUCCAAUAUUUAUCUAUAUAAUUAUUUAUUUUGACUGCAUAACGAAAAUGAAUAAUAUAGAGAUUGAAGACGGAUGAAAAGACAUGUGAGACUGAAAAAUAUAGAUAUUCAACUCAUAAAUUAUUUUUUUUCAUAUUAUAAUAUUAUAUUUCAUAUAAUUAUUUUGUACUUUAAACUAUUAGACAUAUUUUUGUAUCAAAUUAUAGAUAAUUGUUCUAUACAAAUAAACUAUUGAUCGUAUAAUGUGUAGAAUUUCAAGCGUCUCGUUUAGGGCUCGAGCUCGCUCGACUUGAAAUUAGGCUCGCUCGAGCUCGGCUCGAAUUAAUUUCAAUCCAAGCUUGAGCUUAAAUUUAGGCUCGAAAUUAAUUUCAAGCCGAAUUUGAGCCGAGGUAAGCUCGCUCGAGCUCGGCUCGUUUCCACCCCUAUGCAUUGGUUCCCAUGGGAUUUUUUUUUUACAUAAUAACCCCAUAAAAAAAUUAUAUUUGGCUAAAUAUUAUCUCUUUAAAAGCUAUAAAUCAUUCUUUCUUAUAAUUCUCCAUACACAAUUAUUCUAAGGUAUCAUUUGGUUCCAGUAUAAGCAAAAACUAUUUAGAUCAAUUUUGCGUUUUGAUUAAAAUUGUGUUGUUUCUGGAAAUAGAAAAAAUAGCAUUUGGAUUAAAAAAAAUAGUGAUUAGUUAUAUAUAAAAAAUAAUAAUAUUACCCAUCUUAUUAUAUUUGAAUUUAAAUUUUUAAAUUUUAUAUUUAUAUUUUUAAAUUUUAUAUUUUAAAAUUUUAAAUUUAAAUUUGAAAAAUAUAAAUAUCAAAUUUAAAAUUUAAAAAUUUAAAAUUUAAAAUUUAAAAUUAUAAACUUUAAUUUUGAGAUUAAAAUAUAAAAUUUAAAAAUUUAAAAUUUAAUUUUUAAAAUUUUAGUUUUAAUUUUUAAUUUUUAAUUUUUAAAAAUAAAAAAAAAGUGGUGGAAAACCGCUAUUCCCACCCUUAGUGGGUUAUCCAAAAAUAAUAAUUUAAUAUUAAUUAGAUUAAUUAAUAAUUUAAAUAUAUUAAUUAGAUUAAUUAAUGAUUUAAAAUUAUUAAUUAGAGUUUAAUUAAUCUUAUUUUUGGUUGUUCCGGGGAUAAGGGUGAAACAGCAAUUCUAAGUUUAUACCAGGUUAUAUCAUCUUAUUUCAGCUACCCGAGAACUACUAUUCUAGAAUAUGAAAAAUAAUAUUUGGAUAUAAAAAGGGAGAAAAAAGAUUAUUCCACCUUUUAUCUCAUAACCAAACUGGGUAUAAAGGUACAACCCUAACAAUCCCAUAAGAAUCCUAUAACAUAAUUUACUUAUGAAGACGGUGAAUAAUUUAUAGCUUUUAAAGUUUUGUUAAAGAUGGUAAAUAAUUUAUCGUUUUUAAAAUUUUAUUUCACACCAUCCUUCACUUGUCUUUCAGUCAUAGUACUGUGGUGAGCCAAAAUAAAGUUAAUUUGCAAAUUAAAAGGGCUUUUUUAUAUUUAGCCCCCUCAAAAAAAAAUCUACAAAUAGCUUCAUAAAAUUUAUAUUUGUAAGAUUAGCCUUAUUCCCACCACGUAAGCGUCAUGCGAGUAUUGAUAGCGGCACAAAUAAAAUUGAAUAUGGUAAAUCAUUCACUGUAUCGUAUUCCAUUAUUUUUGUACUAUGGUAUUAUUUAAUAUUUGAGGUUUUGGAUUUAGAAAGGACAUCGUGAAUCAUUUACCGUAUCCAAACACAAUGAAUGAUUCACCGUAUUCAACUUAAUCUACCGUCAUGCUUACGUGACGCUUACGUGAUAGGGAUAGGGUCAAAUUGUACUAUUAGGUUUCCGGUCCUGGAUAAAGAAAUAUGCGAUUAGGAUGAUAGUGAUCUCCUAGAAUUAAGUGGGCGGUUGAUUAAAUAGUAUGAUCUAAUAUGUGAAAAUGGUCAAAAUAGUAGAUCUAAUGGUGAAAAACUCUAUAGCACUAAGCGUUUAAUACUAUAGAUAGUAUAGUAUGUUUAUAUAUAUAUAUAUAUGUGUGUGUGUGUGUGUGUUUGAGAGAGAGAGAGAGAAAGAGAGAGAGAGAGAGAGAGAGAGAGAGUGUGUGUGUGUGUGUGUGUGUGUGUGUAUAUUUUGUAGUAGCUAGCACAAGAUAUAGAAUAGAAACUUUUCAACAAUAACAUGUCAAGGUUCAUAAACAAAUUUGCUAUAGUUCAUCAAAGAAGAGAAACCAAAACUUGAGAAACAAAAUGCCAAAAUUUGUGGUGGUCAAAAACGUAAAAAAAAAAAAACACUAGAUCAUCUUCAUGCAUGCAUGUAACAAAACAUAAAAUAUUGUAAGAUCCUCAGUGGUGCUUGGAUUUAUGAUCUCCAGGGCCAUAGUAAUCAACAUCAAACAUUGGCAACCUGUGUUGCACUCCUCCUCUUCUAACCCUAGAAUAUUCCCUUCUCUUCCCCAACUUAUAAUCAUAAUCACUUCCAUGCACCUCUCCAUGAGAAUCUCCAUCUCCAACACCAUUAGUUUCUCCUCCCAGUACCAUAGUGCUACUCUCCUUUUUCUAAAUUAAAAAAAAAAACAAAAAAAAAACAAUAAUAAUAAUAAUAAAAUUAGUACUUUCUCAAGUGUAUAAGAAUUUGAUUCCAAGUAACAUAGCAAUGAAUUAAUACUCACAUUGAUUCCCUUCCUGGAGCUAUAGUAAUCCUUUUCCUUCAAAUUGAUAGCUAAUUAAAGAGACAAAAAUGGUUAGUUUAAUUUGUUGCAUUUUUAUCUAUACUUUAAACAAAAAUGAACCAUCUUAAACCUUUUUUUUACCUCAAAGAGCAAAAAUAUACAUAUAUAUAUAUACCUUGAAUUGAUAUGGUGGAUAAUAGUGAUAGUAGAAGAAGCAAAAGGAUAAACACCAGCAAUAGAGGAGGCCUCAUCUGAGUAAUAGCUUGAGCUUCAAAAGUGUGAGAAAAGGGAGCCUUAAAAAGGGUGGGUAAAUAUUAAAUUGUAAUAUUUGUAGGCAAACAAUAAUGUACAAAAAUAAAGGUAAAAUAAUAUUAUUGUCCCUUGGGUUUUAUCUCUCCUUCCUAAUCCAUAUAGUGUAUAAAAUAUACACUAUAUGGCAUACUUAAAAUGCCUACAUUUCCCUAGACAUUUAACAAAGCAAAAAAGGAUACAAGGCUCCAUAAUUUAUCUAGUCCUUGGCUGGUGUUUAUUAGUACAAUUUUGAGCCUUUUGUGAAAAAUGUUUCCAUAAUUUUUGGACCUUGUUUACUCAUAAAACACAAUGCCACAUAAGAGUUUAAUUAGUAUGCAAAGAAACUAAAUUAAGAAUCACUAAAGAUUGAAAGAGUAUUCUUUGUAAUAGUUAUAUGCGACGUAUAUAUAUAUAUAUAUAUAUAUAUAUAUCAUAAAUCAAUAUGGCAUAUAUAUGAGAUAACAAAGAAUAUAAUCAAUAAUAUAAAAUCUUUUAAAAAAAUUUGUUCUCAAUAGUACUAUUGAGCAACAUAGAGAAUUUGAAAUGAGCAACAUACAAAAUGGGUGACCCCUUAAGAAGCGGGGUGACACAGGACUAUUUAGGGCACGUUUGGUACUGAGAACCAUCUCAUACCACUAAAUAAAAAAGAAAUUAAUCAUGGGAUAAAAAAGAAUAUAUAUAGAGGUAUAUUUUUUUCAUUUUUCGGAAGGAUCAUAAAAAUUAUAUUUUAACUGAUUUUUUACAAAAUUUGCAAUGUAAUAUUCUUUACAAAAAAAAUUGACAACUAUUUUACUAUUGCACUUUCUCACUAUAUGUAAUAUAAUAUCUCCUUGCGAUAGCUUUGAAAUUUAGUGAAUCUUGAUACAAAGCUUCUCAUAGUAACGCUUUUCAAAUAAUAUUUUAUCAGGCAUUAGUAUACUCUAUCGUAGAGAUAAAUAAUUACAGAGAGACUAAGUCUUAUCAUCUUUUUCCUUUUAUAAUACUAAAUCUCGAAAGUGAUUGACUAAACCCUAAAACCCUAAGAGUUGUAGACUAUGUAAACCCUAAGAGUUGUAGACUAUGUAUUUCUCAGUCUUUUUUUUUUUUUUCAGCUAACCCUUUUAAACUAUUGAGUAUGUAACCUUUAUUUUUUAUUUCAAUUAGGAACCAACAAUCUAAAUUCAUAUUAAUUUGAUAAAAUAAGGUCACAUUAACUCAGAUAAAUAAUAGCCUACUCAUAUAGAUCACGGUUAUAGUCCGAUAGCUUCAUGUUAAUCUGAAUACAAUUUUUCUUUUUUUAAGUUUCUGGAUCAAUCUAGUCACAUCCCCCUGAAUGUUAGGAUGCCGAAUACUCCAAAAGGGAGGUAGCAAGCGUGUGUGCAAGGAUAAAGUGUAGGUGUAUAUAAAGACAUUAAGGGCGAUGAGAUUGGGCUUGGCACGAUGGGCACGCAAAUGAAAGAAGAGGUUAGGGACCUAACUGAAAUAAAAAUAUACAUAUAUUAAGGACCAAUACUACAGUCAAUUUUAAAUGUUAACAAUCUAAUUGCAAAAAAUAAUAAAAAAAAAAGCUAAAAAUAUAUGUAACUUAUCUCAACUAUGGACCAUUUGGAUCUAUGUACCCAGCCUUCUAACGUAUUUGAUUUUAAUUAGCCAACGACACUUUGACUUCAAAACUUAAGCUAAUUUAUUUAAUUUCAAAAUCAAAGGUGUCAUUAACUCAUAAUUCAAAUUAAAUAAAUUGAAAGAUUAGAUAGCAAAAUUCAAAUGGUCCGUCAUUCACGUGAGUUCCCUACAUGUCUAUCCAAAAAUAAAAGCUCGAGGACCACAAUAAAACAGAAUAAAAGUUGGGGACCAACCGUGCAGUUUACCCUUUAUUUUGAUCGUUGACCUUUGCUUUGGCCACUUGCGGACACGUGUCGUUCGCUGAGUGGGUGUUUAGUGGUGGGGGCCAAAAUGUGUGUGAUGGACCGCACCAUCCCCUGUGUGCGGCGUGUCCCCACUUUGCUCGGCAGCGGUCCGUUGGGUUUGGUGACUGUGCUGGGGCCUAAACAGUGCACCUUGUCUAGGAAUAAUUGCACAAAACCCCCAUAAGUAUACUAUAUUGUAAAAUGGUACCCGUAGCAUUUUAUUUUCUCUUUGUAUAAACUUUCGUUUGCCUCCACCUUGUUUGAGAAACUUUUAUUUUGGCCCUUGCUAAUAACAUUUAGUGACAUAUUAAAUAGGAUAUUAAUUAAGAUAUGACUAAAAUACAAAAAAAAAUUUAUAAAUAUUCAAUUUUUUACUUUACCCUCUGUCUUUUAAAAAUUUUUGUUUUACUCUUUUAGAAUUUAGAGGUGUAACAAUUAAUUAAGCACUGUUAUACUUUUGUUACUAUUUGGUACAUAAACUAUCUAGCAUGAUUGAAAAUUUUAUUGGGAUACUCAUUAUAUCCUUAAAAAUUAUAGGAAUGUGAACGUAUGAGAAUCCUAUAUAUUUUUUUUACAUAUUAGAUAACUUAAUGAAAAAGAUUUUUGACUAUUUACGAAUUUAUUUUUCUUUUUUCGUCAUUUCUAAGAAUAAAAUAACUAUAUUAGUAAGCCAUUUUACAUAAAAAAAAUUCUCCAGUUUUGCGUUUUGACAAAAAAUGGGCUAUUUUUUUCCCCUUUUUACAUGUUCGAAUCGAAAUUUUAAAAAACUGACUGAAAGAUCUCUCCUUGCUUUCUUUCUCCUCCCACUCUCUCACUCCUCCUUCUCCGUCGCCCCUAUAUUUUUAUUUAAUAUUUAAAGUGAAACUUCAAUGUUUUUUUUUGUUUCUUGGAUGAGCUUGAACAAUUUAUAAUUUGCUCAACCAAUUUUUGACUAAUCUUGGGCCAAACUAUUAAUUUGUUGAAUGCGAUCUACAAUACCAAUUAGUUUUGUAGAUCAAAAUUAUAAAUUUUGAGAAUUUAUUACUAAGGCGUUAGGGAGUACGAAUUUUGGCACACUCCGUGCGAGCGAACAUUUCUCCUUAAUUUCUUCCUCCAUCUCCCUAGAAAUGUGGUGUUGAUUUGAUAUGCAGAUGUCGUACCAGGCGAGGACAGAUGUCUUAGAACGCUCAUAUACAAAAUUAUUCUGUGUACAGAAUGAUCAUAUUGCUCGUCCAAAACAGAAUCAGAAUUAGUAAUCCUAAAGGCGACAAUCCAGAAUAUAGCAUAAAAUUAUUGAGAGAAAAACAAAAAUAUUAUAGAUAGAACUUGUCUAACCCAAAAAUAAUGUGACUUAAUGAGUCCAGCUACUAUACGAUCGAUAGUACCCAGCUUUUAAUACUAUCGAGUUUUCUGCCGUUAGAUCUACUCUUUAAUCAUUUUCACCCGUUGGAUUGUACUAUUCAACUGACCACCCACUCAACCCUAGGGGACCACUAUCAUUCUAAUCCUAUAAUUUUUCAUCCAAAAAUUUUUAACUCGAUAGUAAAAGAGUUUAAAUAUUACUAAUAGUAUUCCAGCCUAAUAUGAAAAAUUCAAAAAUCUAAAAGCAUUUAUAAUCUUCUCUCCUCCAACACUUUAAAAUUAUAGUUAGAAUCGUCACCGGAAAAGUAUAUAGCCCAUGUGUUUUUUUGGUAGCGGUUGCAAUAUAAUUUUAUAAUAUAUAAAAAAAUUAGAGUCACUUUUAGAAUUUUGACAAAUGUUAUCAGUACAUUCCUAAUAGAGGGAUAACUCUUACCUCCAUUGAUCUAAGAAUUCACAAAUUUAAUAAACAAAAAUAAAAUAAAAUUUGAUAAGACAGGUGGGCAAAGAUGAGCCUAUACUCUUCCAAAAGAACUAAAUAAAAAAAAAUUUAAGACUAAAUUAUAAAACGAAAAUUCUAAUUGUACACUCCAAAAGAAAGGUAUAGAUCGUGCGCUAUCCUUUGCCUUAAAAUUCACAAAAAUCUAAAUAAGUUUAGAAAAAUAAAAUAAAAUUUGAUGCGACAAGCAUGGAAUGACGAUUUUUGGAUGAAAAAAGUGUGAGAUGAACACUCUACUUUUGAGUGUAAAUCUCUCUUAUACUUUAUCAUGUGUCUCAAAUAUCUCUUUAUAUAAAAAAUUUAAAUUAAUAAUGUCAACCAUGCUCUUUAGUUUUGUCUGAAACAAAUUCUUUCAUUAGGAUUUUUUGAUAAUUUUAACGAUGACAAGUUAAGAUAUAUAGCAUUUUUUUUUUUGAAAGAUAGGUAGCACGCUACCCGCUUCGUUUAUUUUAUUUAGAAAUAAACUUAGCUAGAAAUAUGAAUCAACUAUUAUUCGAACUUGGGUUUCGAGUACCAACCACCAAGCCCUUUGCCACUUGCUUUAGGGACGGUCGUGUUUGAGAUAAAAAAUAUGAAUUUGAAUUCAAAUUGGGAUGUAGAAGGAAAGAAAAUAAAUUAUAAUUUGAUUGCUAUUUUCCUUAAAAAGGGACAAGGAAUCAACAAGGAAAAAAAUAAAAAAUAUAGUAUUACCUUAUUUUCAAAAUUUUUUGAAUCAUUUUCUAAAAUAAAGUGGUCCAAAAAAAUCACUAUAAAUUGGAUCAUAAAAAAAAAUAUGUCUUUUAGGGAGGGAAGGUUAAAAAAAAAAAAAAAAUGAAAGAAAAAAGAAAAAAGAAAAAGGAAAAAAGAGAGAGUGGCUGGCAGGAGGAGGCUCAACUCCCUCUCCCUCUGGUUCGUACACAGAGAGAGGGAGUAGGGUCCCCUCUCUCAGGCCAACCAAAAAAAAAGAAAAGAAAAAGAAUGAAAAAAAAAAGAGAGAAAAGAGAAAGUAAAAAAAGAAAAGAAAAGUUGAAGCACGAUCACGAUGACGACAGCUACGACGAUUCUGACGACGACGACGACGACGGUGACGACGAUGGCGGCGGCGAUCUUGGCGACUUCCCCAACGACAAUCACGACGACUUCUACAAUAACAGGAGAUACGCAUGCAUACGCAUAGCGUAAGUGCGAUUUUUUUGUUGGUUUGAUCAACCCGACCAUCUUUGUGAUAGGUUUCGAACCGAUCAAAUCUGACAUUAAAUCGUCACUUCCGCCGUGCGUAUAUAUUGUUAAUCUCUAAACCGUGCGGCCAUCUUCGUGAUAAGCUCGACAUGGUCAAAAUGAUUGAUGGAACCGGAUGUUUUACUACGUAAACCGUGCGGCCAUCUUCGUGAUAGGCUCGACAUGGUCAAAAUGGGUGAUCGAGCACCAUUUAUCUUGUUACGAAAACCGUGCGACUAUCUUCGUGAUAGGCUCGACAUGGUCGAAAACGUAAACCGUGCGGCCAUCUUCGUGAUAGGCUCGAUAUGGUCGAAAAGAUUAAUCGAACAGCCAUCUUCGUGAUAGGCUCAACACGAUAAAUCAGGGUACUUGAACAAAAUUAUUAAAUUUGAAAACGGCAGAUAUCAACCAUUAAAAAUUAUUGAUUUUGAAUCAUUUCGAUCACUAGGUAAAUGAUAUCAAAAAAUCGCAAAAAUUAUUUUCUAGAAACUUCAAAUACCCUAGAUCAAGUCUAACGGAGCCGAUCGUCUAUUCGAAAAUUCCAUCAUCGAAAACGGUUCAGGAGCACGGAGGCCUUCGUGCUUCUAUGAGCAGAGUAGCCCUGCUCUUUUGAAUCAUUUAUUUAAUUUUUAAAAUUUUUAAUUUUACUAGCCAAUUUUCUAGUUAGUUUAAUUUGAAUCAGUGAACAAUACGUUGGGUUCAAAAUUUAAGCUUAUUACUUACUUUUAAUAAAUUUACAGUUUCAAAAAUUUCACAAAGUAUAUGAACUAAAUCUGUAAAAAUGAAUGACGCAUUCAAAUUUUAAAGUUAAAAUACCGUUAACUGAUUCAAAUAAAAUAAACUAAAAAAAUUAAAUAGUAAAUUUAAAAUUUUAAAAAAUUAAAUAUUUUAACUCAAAACUAAUUUAGUUUAAAUAAUUUCCGAAUGUUUUUACAUAUUUUGUCACAGGGAGCAUUAAAGCAAAUAUACCCCAAAUCCAAAAAAAAAAAAAAAAAAGUGCACGGAUUCCAACGAGUGCAACCGCGUCCAAUCCCGCCCCACUCCUGCUGCUUGCCCCAAUCUCGAGAAGUUCAUCUCUCGAACUUCCCGCUCUAUCCGACGGCUAGAAAUCGCUCCCCCGUGGGGCCCACACGUGGCUACAAAGAGAAAUGGGUUAAUUGCGUACAAGUUCCCGCAAACAUAAUAAAUUACAAAUACAUUCCUAUAAAGUUCAAUUUUUAUAAAUUAUUCUUACAAAAGUCCUAAUAUUUUCAAAUAUGUUCUUGCCGUUAGAAUUCGUUAGAAAAGUUUAGUUAGUCAUAGGUUAAAUACUUUACUGUAGUUAAUUUUUUAGACAUUUUUAUACCUUUUUUAUAUUAUACUGUUGUAAUUUUUGGAGAAAUAUAUUUAUGAUGACAAAAUUAAAAAUGUAAACAGUUUUCUAAUGGUUCUCUAACUGUAACAAACUAGAGGGCUAUAUCUGAAAAAUAUUAGGACUUUUGCAUUAAUAAUCUAUAAAAGUUGAACUUUAUAGGGAUAUAUUUAUAAUUUACAAUGUUUGUGGGGACAUGUAUGCAAUUAACCCAAGAAAAAUGCUUUUAAGUCUCCACUCCAUAGUACCCAAAUAAAGGCGGAUUUCACACUUUUUUACUUUAGUACCAUAUAAUUUAAAGUGUAUUACUUUAAUACUCUAUGAUUUUUCUUUUUCUUUUUCUUUUUUUUCGUCAACACCUUCGUUAACUCUCCAUUAAAUCAUAUAUAAAAAACUUCAAAUACAACACCUAUAAUUUAUUGAAUAUUCACUUUAAUACCCCGUGGUUUAUUGAAUUUUUUUACCUUGGUACCUUAGGGUUUUAAUUUAUCACUGGUAUAACAAAAAAAUUAAUGAAGGAGAUAACAAAAAGAAAAUGAAACCACAAAAUAUUAAAGUGAUAUAUUUUAAAUCAUAGAGUACUAAAGUGAGAAAGUACGAAACUAGAUAUUUGAAGCUGUUCCU